CGAUGCUCCGCCGCUUGUGCGGGCCCCCGCUCAAUUCCUUUGAGUUUUAGCCUUGCGGCCGUACUCCCCAGGCGGGGUCACUUAAUGCGUUAGCUACGGCGCGGGAAAACGUGKAAAUGUUCCCCACACCUAGUGCCCAACGUUUACGGCAUGGACUACCAGGGUAUCUAAUCCUGUUCGCUCCCCAUGCUUUCGCUCCUCAGCGUCAGUAACAGCCCAGAGACCUGCCUUCGCCAUCGGGGUUCUUCCUGAUAUCUGCGCAUUUCACCGCUACACCAGGAAUUCCAGUCUCCCCUACUGCACUCUAGUCUACCCGUACCCACUGCACACCCGGAGUUAAGCCCCGGGCUUUCACAGCAGACGUGGCAAACCGCCUGCGAGCCCUUUACGCCCAAUAAUUCCGGAUAACGCUCGCGCCCUACGUAUUACCGCGGCUGCUGGCACGUAGUUAGCCGGCGCUUCUUCUGCAGGUACCGUCACAAAAAGCUUCUUYCCUGCUGAAAGCGGUUUACAACCCGAAGGCCGUCAUCCCGCACGCGGCGUCGCUGCAUCAGGCUUGCGCCCAUUGUGCAAUAUUCCCCASUGYUGHCUCCCGUAAGAGUCUGGGCCGUGUCUCANUCCCAGUGUGGCCGGUCACCCCUCUCAGGCCGGCUACCCGUCAUCGCCUUGGUGAGCCAUUACCUCCACCAA
rnacentral:rRNA from 1 species